GAUGAACGCUGGCGGCGUGCUUAACACAUGCAAGUCGAACGAAGCACCUUGAUUCGAUUCUUCGGAUGAAGAUCUUGGUGACUGAGUGGCGGACGGGUGAGUAACGCGUGGGUAACCUGCCUCAUACAGGGGGAUAACAGUUAGAAAUGACUGCUAAUACCGCAUAAGACCACAGCACCGCAUGGUGCAGGGGUAAAAACUCCGGUGGUAUGAGAUGGACCCGCGUCUGAUUAGGUAGUUGGUGGGGUAACGGCCUACCAAGCCGACGAUCAGUAGCCGACCUGGUGGGGUGCCCGGCCACAUUGGGACUGAGACACGGCCCAAACUCCUACGGGAGGCAGCAGUGGGGAAUAUUGCACAAUGGGGGAAACCCUGAUGCAGCGACGCCGCGUGAGCGAUGAAGUAUUUCGGUAUGUAAAGCUCUAUCAGCAGGGAAGAAAAUGACGGUACCUGACUAAGAAGCACCGGCUAAAUACGUG
rnacentral:rRNA from 1 species